rnacentral:lncRNA from 1 species
UGUGUGUGUGUGUAUAUAUAUAUUAGAACUGGGCUUUUGUCAUGUUAAAAUCAAAGUAGGAUAAAAUUUUCUUCUAAAGUUGUCCUUACAUUCUUUCUUAUUUUAUAGCUUUUUUGCCAGGGCUGUCCCACUGUAAGGUCUGCCCAGUGAUGGGGAGUUCAUCAGAGACCCUAUCUAUCACUACCAUCUCUACAACUUCUAGGAAUAACGAAGGAGCAAAAACUACAAGUACUGGUGAUGUUUCUAGGCCUCUGACACAAGACAAAGAUAAGGAUUUAGAGAAGAGGCAGAAAUGGAGUAUUGUGGUUAAAUCUCUGAUUGCUGCCACCCUGCUGCUCAGUGGAGUUGUCAUUACAGUAUUUUUGAGGUCGUAUGUCCUAGCCAAUGGCAAAGAGCCAGAAGGUGGUGCCAAUGCCAGCAGCUGUGGAGAAGUCAAACAAAAGGCGAUGAGCAACCUGGGACAGCUGCCCCUCUGCCUGAGUAGGGAAGUGUUCUCUCUAUGCUUCAUGUCACUUGUUUUCUAUGCUUCAUGUCACUUGUCUGGAGGAAAAAGGGUUAACAUAAAAGUGCUGGUAAACGGGGCAUGUUGGUGCAUGCCUAUAAUCCCAGCACUUGGGAGGCUGAGGCAGGAGGAUCAUUACAAGUUACUUAGUGAGUUCAAGGUCAGCAUGAACUACUUAGCAAGACCCUGUCUCAGGAAAAAAAAACACCACAGAAUGUCUAUAAUGGGGCCAAAAAUCUACCUUUUUUUCUGA